rnacentral:rRNA from 1 species
UCGAACGAGCGAGAGAGAGCUUGCUUUCUCGAGCGAGUGGCGAACGGGUGAGUAACGCGUGAGGAACCUGCCUCAAAGAGGGGGACAACAGUUGGAAACGACUGCUAAUACCGCAUAAGCCCACGGUGCUGCAUGGCACAGAGGGAAAAGGAGCAAUCCGCUUUGAGAUGGCCUCGCGUCCGAUUAGCUAGUUGGUGAGGUAACGGCCCACCAAGGCGACGAUCGGUAGCCGGACUGAGAGGUUGAACGGCCACAUUGGGACUGAGACACGGCCCAGACUCCUACGGGAGGCAGCAGUGGGGAAUAUUGCACAAUGGGGGAAACCCUGAUGCAGCGACGCCGCGUGGAGGAAGAAGGUCUUCGGAUUGUAAACUCCUGUUGUUGGGGAAGAUAAUGACGGUACCCAACAAGGAAGUGACGGCUAACUACGUGCCAGCAGCCGCGGUAAAACGUAGGUCACAAGCGUUGUCCGGAAUUACUGGGUGUAAAGGGAGCGCAGGCGGGAAGACAAGUUGGAAGUGAAAUCUAUGGGCUCAACCCAUAAACUGCUUUCAAAACUGUUUUUCUUGAGUAGUGCAGAGGUAGGCGGAAUUCCCGGUGUAGCGGUGGAAUGCGUAG